rnacentral:rRNA from 1 species
ACCUGAAACCGUGUACGUACAAGCAGUGGGAGCCUCUUAAUGGGGUGACUGCGUACCUUUUGUAUAAUGGGUCAGCGACUUAUAUUCUGUAGCAAGGUUAACCGAAUAGGGGAGCCGAAGGGAAACCGAGUCUUAACUGGGCGUUAAGUUGCAGGGUAUAGACCCGAAACCCGGUGAUCUAGCCAUGGGCAGGUUGAAGGUUGGGUAACACUAACUGGAGGACCGAACCGACUAAUGUUGAAAAAUUAGCGGAUGACUUGUGGCUGGGGGUGAAAGGCCAAUCAAACCGGGAGAUAGCUGGUUCUCCCCGAAAGCUAUUUAGGUAGCGCCUCGUGAAUUCAUCUCCGGGGGUAGAGCACUGUUUCGGCAAGGGGGUCAUCCCGACUUACCAACCCGAUGCAAACUGCGAAUACCGGAGAAUGUUAUCACGGGAGACACACGGCGGGUGCUAACGUCCGUCGUGAAGAGGGAAACAACCCAGACCGCCAGCUAAGGUCCCAAAGUCAUGGUUAAGUGGGAAACGAUGUGGGAAGGCCCAGACAGCCAGGAUGUUGGCUUAGAAGCAGCCAUCAUUUAAAGAAAGCGUAAUAGCUCACUGGUCGAGUCGGCCUGCGCGGAAGAUGUAACGGGGCUAAACCAUGCACCGAAGCUGCGGCAGCGACACUAUGUGUUGUUGGGUAGGGGAGCGUUCUGUAAGCCUGUGAAGGUGGCCUGUGAGGGUUGCUGGAGGUAUCAGAAGUGCGAAUGCUGACAUAAGUAACGAUAAAGCGGGUGAAAAGCCCGCUCGCCGGAAGACCAAGGGUUCCUGUCCAACGUUAAUCGGGGCAGGGUGAGUCGACCCCUAAGGCGAGGCCGAAAGGCGUAGUCGAUGGGAAACAGGUUAAUAUUCCUGUACUUGGUGUUACUGCGAAGGGGGGACGGAGAAGGCUAUGUUGGCCGGGCGACGGUUGUCCCGGUUUAAGCGUGUAGGCUGGUUUUCCAGGCAAAUCCGGAAAAUCAAGGCUGAGGCGUGAUGACGAGGCACUACGGUGCUGAAGCGACAAAUGCCCUGCUUCCAGGAAAAGCCUCUAAGCAUCAGGUAACAUCAAAUCGUACCCCAAACCGACACAGGUGGUCAGGUAGAGAAUACCAAGGCGCUUGAGAGAACUCGGGUGAAGGAACUAGGCAAAAUGGUGCCGUAACUUCGGGAGAAGGCACGCUGAUAUGUAGGUGAAGCGACUUGCUCGUGGAGCUGAAAUCAGUCGAAGAUACCAGCUGGCUGCAACUGUUUAUUAAAAACACAGCACUGUGCAAACACGAAAGUGGACGUAUACGGUGUGACGCCUGCCCGGUGCCGGAAGGUUAAUUGAUGGGGUUAGCGGUAACGCGAAGCUCUUGAUCGAAGCCCCGGUAAACGGCGGCCGUAACUAUAACGGUCCUAAGGUAGCGAAAUUCCUUGUCGGGUAAGUUCCGACCUGCACGAAUGGCGUAAUGAUGGCCAGGCUGUCUCCACCCGAGACUCAGUGAAAUUGAACUCGCUGUGAAGAUGCAGUGUACCCGCGGCAAGACGGAAAGACCCCGUGAACCUUUACUAUAGCUUGACACUGAACAUUGAGCCUUGAUGUGUAGGAUAGGUGGGAGGCUUUGAAGUGUGGACGCCAGUCUGCAUGGAGCCGACCUUGAAAUACCACCCUUUAAUGUUUGAUGUUCUAACGUGGGCCCCUUACCGGGGUUGCGGACAGUGUCUGGUGGGUAGUUUGACUGGGGCGGUCUCCUCCUAAAGAGUAACGGAGGAGCACGAAGGUUGGCUAAUCCUGGUCGGACAUCAGGAGGUUAGUGCAAUGGCAUAAGCCAGCUUGACUGCGAGCGUGACGGCGCGAGCAGGUGCGAAAGCAGGUCAUAGUGAUCCGGUGGUUCUGAAUGGAAGGGCCAUCGCUCAACGGAUAAAAGGUACUCCGGGGAUAACAGGCUGAUACCGCCCAAGAGUUCAUAUCGACGGCGGUGUUUGGCACCUCGAUGUCGGCUCAUCACAUCCUGGGGCUGAAGUAGGUCCCAAGGGUAUGGCUGUUCGCCAUUUAAAGUGGUACGCGAGCUGGGUUUAGAACGUCGUGAGACAGUUCGGUCCCUAUCUGC